rnacentral:rRNA from 1 species
UACGUAGGGGGGCAAGCGUUGUCCGGAUUUAUUGGGCGUAAAGAGCUCGUAGGCGGUUUGUCGCGUCUGCUGUGAAAACCCGAGGCUCAACCUCGGGCCUGCAGUGGGUACGGGCAGACUAGAGUGCGGUAGGGGAGAUUGGAAUUCCUGGUGUAGCGGUGGAAUGCGCAGAGUAUCAGGAGGAACACCCAAUGGCGAAGGCAGAUCUCUGGGCCGUAACUGACGCUGAGGAGCGAAAGCAUGGGGAGCGAACAGG